rnacentral:rRNA from 1 species
UACAGAGGGUGCGAGCGUUGUCCGGAAUCACUGGGCGUAAAGGGCGCGUAGGCGGGCCGCCGCGUCCGGGGUGAAAUCCUCCCGCUCAACGGGAGAACGGCCUCGGAUACGGGCGGCCUGGAGGCGGGUAGGGGCACGCGGAACUGUGGGUGGAGCGGUGAAAUGCGUUGAGAUCCACAGGAACUCCGGUGGCGAAGGCGGCGUGCUGGACCCGUCCUGACGCUGAGGCGCGAAAGCCAGGGGAGCGAACGGG